rnacentral:rRNA from 1 species
GUCGGUCAUCAUCACCCUGAAUAAGCCUCAUCUUGUCAGUUCUUCAAAGCUAAGCAGGUGUGAGCCUGGUCAGUGCAGGACUUGGAUGGGAGACUGCCUGCCAACACCAGGCGUUGUCGACU